GUAGGUGAACCUGCGGAAGGAUCAUUAAUGAGAACUUGCCCUUCGGGGUAGAUCUCCCACCCUCUGUUUAUUAUACUUUGUUGCUUUGGCAGGCCCGUCCUCGGACCGCCGGCCUCGGCUGGCCAGCGCCUGCCGGAGACUCAAAACUCUGAUUACAUAUUGUCUGAGUACUAUUUUAAUAGUUAAAACUUUCAACAACGGAUCUCUUGGUUCUG
rnacentral:misc_RNA from 1 species